CUUUGCUCCAGUUUCCAGUAAGUUCCUCAUCUCCAUUUGAGACCAACUCAGCCUGGACCUUACUGUUCAUAUCAUUGUCAGCAUUUUUGUCAAAGCCAUUCAACAAAUCUCUAGGAGUUCCAAACUUUCCAACAUUUUUAUGUCUUCUGAGUCCUCCAAACUAUUCCAGCCUCUGCCUGUUAACCAGUUCCGAAGGAGUUCCCCGACUGCUUGUGCUUCCCAGUUAUAGCUCUGAACACAGAUAAAAUAAUGGUUAUCUGCAGAAGACUGAAGAAGCUAUGGUAUCCAUGUAUUGUCAGCAUGUACUGCAUUCUUGAAA
rnacentral:lncRNA from 1 species